rnacentral:lncRNA from 1 species
AGAAGUUUGGCUUUUAGUAAUGUAGAAGGAAUACAUUUCCCUUAUUUUGAACCCACAGACUGCAUGUACUGUUGAAGGACUUUGAAGUCUCUGUCCUGCUGACUGUGCUGGGCUCAGUGCAGGAGUGCUUCACCAGGACUCCUUGAAGGAGAGGACCAUGAGCUGCAUUGCAUCCAAGAAGCAGAAGAGAGACCAGGAACUCUAGGAGAAGGAAAAAGGAGGAUGGAUUUGUGAGGGACGUGCCACUCUAUGGGGAAUGAGAGCCUGUUUACAGUAGAAUUGCUGGCUUUGGUAGCUGUGACUGCAGUAGGUGCUCUACACUGCCAGGCCUCUUUGCUUUGUACCAGUGAGCUCCAGGCCCUGGGGCUUCUUUGGAGUUGAUCUAGGCACAGGGCUACCCAUGGCAGGAGGCUGUUCGAGGCAGCUGUACAGUCGUGGUCUCCUGCCCAUUAUACAUAUGUGUACAGAGGAAAACUGGGCUAUUUUUGGCCAAGAGUGGUCAGGGUAAAGCCUGGUUCUCUGCUGAGCUGUUGGAGACCUGGUGGCAAAUCCCUUCUCUCACUUUGGCCUUGAUCAGACAGCGGGCCAUUGCCACAAACAUGGUGCUUGUUGCGUUGGCUUCCAAAUAGCUUUUGAUCUGGGACUGAUGCCAGCUGCCUUCACCCCAAGCCUCCACAGGUGAGCAGAGGUUUCCAUGCUGAUGGGAAAAACAGCUGCUUCAACACGCUGCCACUGCUGCUUUGGUGGGUUUCCCUGUCAAUCUGCCAGGGAAACUGUAAGCCUUUUGUUCCUGGGCCCAAGGGGGAACAAGAGCAAGGUGAAGUAUAUCUCCUUUUCUACUGGCAUGGCUGAGUCUGAAAGAAGGCACCUCUCCAUUGCCUGAGGCUGCUCUUACACACAGCCCUUCCCCAGACUUAACUUGGAUCAUCAUAAGUGGUUUCCAAUCCUUACAGAGUGCUAGCAAAGGUGGGGAGGUCUCCACUAAGUGUAUGUAACACCAGGACAAUUUUAUGGGUGUGCAAGCUCCAAGCAAAGUGACUGGGAGCAUGUGAAUAUUCACAGCUUUUAAAGUCAAAAUAAAUGCCGUGUGGAUGGCCUAAAAGAUUCA